rnacentral:rRNA from 1 species
AACGAACGCUGGCGGCGUGCCUAACACAUGCAAGUCGAGCGCGAAUGGAGCAAUCCUAGUAGAGCGGCGCACGGGUGCGUAACACGUGGGUAAUCUGCCUCAAAGCCCGGGACGUAACCUGCCGAAAGGACAAGCUAAUACCGGAUAAGCCUACGGACUCUUCGGGGUCGUGAAGGAAAAGGUGGCCUCUGUAUACAAGCUAUCACUUUGAGAUGAGCCCGCGGCUCACAGCUCGUUGGCGGGGUAACGGCCCACCAGGGCAACGACGGGUAGCUGGUCUGAGAGGACGAUCAGCCACACUGGAACUGAGACACGGUCCAGACUCCUACGGGAGGCAGCAGUGGGGAAUUUUGCGCAAUGGGCGAAAGCCUGACGCAGCAACGCCGCGUGUGUGAUGAAGGUCUUCGGAUUGUAAAGCACUUUCGA